rnacentral:rRNA from 1 species
UACGAAGGGGGCUAGUGUUGCUCGGAAUCACUGGGCGUAAAGCGCACGUAGGCGGAUUGCUAAGUCAGGGGUGAAAUCCUGGAGCUCAACUCCAGAACUGCCUUUGAUACUGGCGACCUUGAGUCCGGGAGAGGUGAGUGGAACUGCGAGUGUAGAGGUGAAAUUCGUAGAUAUUCGCAAGAACACCAGUGGCGAAGGCGGCUCACUGGCCCGGUACUGACGCUGAGGUGCGAAAGCGUGGGGAGCAACAGG